rnacentral:rRNA from 2 species
UACGGCGACCAUAGCGAAAGGGAGACACCUGGACUCAUCCCGAACCCAGAAGUUAAGCCUUUCUGCGUCGUGGUUUGUACUGCUAGUAGCGGGAAUACCACAACGUCGCCGGCC